rfam:Hepatitis C virus subtype 6n isolate KM42, complete genome
AAARCUCAUCGCCCAGGGGGGGAAAGCCGCUAUAUGCGGCAAGUACCUCUUUAACUGGGCGGUAAGAACC